CAUAUACGACCGUACCGCAAACCGACACUGGUGCGCGAGAUGAGUAUUCUAAGGCGCUUGAGAGAACUCAGGAGAAGGAACUCGGCAAAUUGACACCGUAACUUCGGAAGAAGGUGUGCCCUAUUAGUGUGAAGCGAACAGCGGAGCAUGAACGGGUUGCAAAAAAUCGGUGGCUGCGACUGUUUAUUAAAAACACAGCACUCUGCAAACACGAAAGUGGACGUAUAGGGUGUGACGCCUGCCCGGUGCUGGAAGAUUAAAUGAUGGGGUGCAAGCUCUUGAUUGAAGUCCCAGUAAACGGCGGCCGUAACAAUAACGGUCCUAAGGUAGCGAAAUUCCUUGUCGGGUAAGUUCCGACCUGCACGAAUGGCGUAACGAUGGCCACACUGUCUCCUCCUGAGACUCAGCGAAGUUGAAAUGUUUGUGAUGAUGCAAUCUCCCCGCGGAAAGACGGAAAGACCCCAUGAACCUUUACUGUAGCUUUGUAUUGGACUUUGAACAGAUCUGUGUAGGAUAGGUGGGAGGCUUUGAAGCAGGGUCGCUAGAUCUUGUGGAGCCAACGUUGAAAUACCACCCUGGUGUGUUUGAGGUUCUAACCUAGGUCCAUUAUCUGGAUCGGGGACAGUGCAUGGUAGGCAGUUUGACUGGGGCGGUCUCCUCCCAAAGCGUAACGGAGGAGUUCGAAGGUACGCUAGUUACGGUCGGACAUCGUGACGAUAGUGCAAUGGCAUAAGCGUGCUUAACUGCGAGACUGACAAGUCGAGCAGAUGCGAAAGCAGGACAUAGUGAUCCGGUGGUUCUGUAUGGAAGGGCCAUCGCUCAACGGAUAAAAGGUACUCUGGGGAUAACAGGCUGAUACCGCCCAAGAGUUCAUAUCGACGGCGGUGUUUGGCACCUCGAUGUCGGCUCAUCUCAUCCUGGGGCUGUAGCCGGUCCCAAGGGUAUGGCUGUUCGCCAUUUAAAGAGGUACGUGAGCUGGGUUUAAAACGUCGUGAGACAGUUUGGUCCCUAUCUUCCGUGGGCGCUGCAGAUUUGAGGAAGCCUGCUCCUAGUACGAGAGGACCGGAGUGGACACACCUCUGGUGUAUCGGUUGUCACGCCAGUGGCAUUGCCGAGUAGCUAAGUGUGGAAGAGAUAACCGCUGAAAGCAUCUAAGCGGGAAACUCGUUUCAAGAUGAGAUCUGCCGGGGCCUUGAGCCCCCUGAAGAGUCGUUCAAGACCAGGACGUUGAUAGGUCAGGUGUGGAAGCGCAGUAAUGCGUUAAGCUAACUGAUACUAAUUGCUCGUGCGGCUUGACCC
rnacentral:rRNA from 1 species